GCCCCCGUGGCGCAGUCUGGUUAGCGCAUCGGACUUUUAAUCCGUUGGUCGUGGGUUCGAAUCCCACCGGGGGCA
rnacentral:tRNA from 1 species